rnacentral:rRNA from 1 species
GAUGAACGCUGGCGGCGUGCCUAAUACAUGCAAGUCGAGCGAACGGACGAGAAGCUUGCUUUUCUGAUGUUAGCGGCGGACGGGUGAGUAACACGUGGAUAACCUACCUAUAAGACUGGGAUAACUUCGGGAAACCGGAGCUAAUACCGGAUAAUAUUUUGAACCGCAUGGUUCAAAAGUGAGAGACGGUCUUGCUGUCACUUAUAGAUGGAUCCGCGCUGCAUUAGCUAGUUGGUAAGGUAACGGCUUACCAAGGCAACGAUGCAUAGCCGACCUGAGAGGGUGAUCGGCCACACUGGAACUGAGACACGGUCCAGACUCCUACGGGAGGCAGCAGUAGGAAAUCUUCCGCAAUGGGCGAAAGCCUGACGGAGCAACGCCGCGUGAGUGAUGAAGGUCUUCGGAUCGUAAAACUCUGUUAUUAGGGAAGAACAUAUGUGUAAGUAACUGUGCACAUCUUGACGGUACCUAAUCAGAAAGCCACGGCUAACUACGUG